GCCUACCUGAGGUCUUGUGAAGGAAAGCAGCUCUUUUCCUUUAUUUCUUUGUCUGUGGCUGCUGUAUUUGGGCUCAUUCUUGUUUGCUGUAGACAAAGACUUUGCCACCCUGCUACUGUCAUCCUAUAAUAGUGUUACAGCAUCUCAGCCUUUUUCCUGAAGAAGUCAUUGAAUCUCAGACAGGAAUGAUAAGAUGAAAUGGUGGACGGCUAUGGGGCAUCAAAGCAGGAGUUUGCAAGGGUAAAUUAGUUUAGAAAAAGUAAGAAAAGAAGGAACCUGUGUAGAUGGACCACCAGUCCUGCUGGGGGCAGAGGUGCCACCAAGUAUAGUGCCAACAGCAAAUAAAUCAGGAGAAGGUGCUGGAAGCUCUCUAGCUCAUGACUAAAACCCAAUUCAAAGCUAAGAAGCAGCCUUCAUUCCUAUGCCUAUCUGCAGGCGUCUCAAGUUAGCAGAACACCUGUGACAGACCAGUGCUUCUGAUCCCAAUUUCUUGGCACGUGGAUGGCUAAUGUACGUGGAAUCAGAUGUGUACUUCAAGAUGUCUUUGCACUGUUAUAAUUUCUUGAUUUACUGAUUGUAUAAAAUAGAUAAUCCCUUUUCUGUGCGUUCUGUUCACCCAGGGUCAUCCACAUUCCCCUCAGGAAAGAGAACUUCUCCAUUGCAUUCAGCAUCCAGUGAUGACUGAGCUGCUCUGGGGUCACCAAAUUAAACCAUCCCCUUGUGAGGGCACAGGAGGAACACUAUUACCUCCACAGCAAGGAGUAAACGAGCUCCACAAACCAAAGCACUGUCCCAUUUGGCUGUAUUACUUCUCUGAGCAACGUUGACUUUGUGGACUCUUCUCCAAGUACAGAUGGAGAAGAUCUGGAGGUGCUCACAUUACUGACAUGUAAGCCACAUGUGAUGGCACCAGGACAACAGUCUGUGACCUGGAGGGACUUUGGGUCUUAGUGGGGGUUGUCCAUUGUGCUCCUUGGUUUUAGUCACUGCGGUUCAUCAUCUAUCAGACCCUUGCAGGCACCCCAGUCUCUCUAGCAGCUGGCUCCAAGACGCCAUUGGUGCUGGACAUUUCCUUUUGUUGACUUGAAGGAAAGCACAAGGUAAACCUGCUUAGUUGAAAAAGAAAGCGGAGGGGAAAAGAAGUCUUUCCUACUCUAGGUGUCUCAGUGACUUCCAGCUCAUGGUUCGAGCUACUGCAUGAUUGAUCCAGC
rnacentral:lncRNA from 1 species